ACCGGUGCUUUUGGCGCGGGGGAUACACUGGUUCCCAUCCCGAACACCAAAGUUAAGACCCGCUGCGGCGAUGAUACUCGAAAGGGGAAAGUAGCACGGUGCCGGAC
rnacentral:rRNA from 1 species